AUGGGGGGACCAUCCUCCAAGGCUAAAUACUCCCAACUGACCGAUAGUGAACCAGUACCGUGAGGGAAAGGCGAAAAGAACCCCGGCGAGGGGAGUGAAACAGAACCUGAAACCGUGUACGUACAAGCAGUAGGAGCGGACUUGUUCCGUGACUGCGUACCUUUUGUAUAAUGGGUCAGCGACUUAUAUUCUGUAGCAAGGUUAACCGUAUAGGGAAGCCGUAGGGAAACCGAGUCUUAACUGGGCGUUGAGUUGCAGGGUAUAGACCCGAAACCGGGCGAUCUAACCAUGAGCAGGUUGAAGAUUGAGUAACAUCAAUUGGAGGACCGAACCCACUAAUGUUGAAAAAUUAGGGGAUGACUUGUGGCUAGGAGUGAAAGGCUAAUCAAGCCCGGAGAUAGCUGGUUCUCCCCGAAAUCUAUUUAGGUAGAGCCUCGGACGAAUACCAUUGGGGGUAGAGCACUGUUUGGGCUAGGGGGUCAUCCCGACUUACCAACCCCAUGCAAACUCCGAAUACCAAUGAGUACUAUCCGGGAGACACACGGCGGGUGCUAACGUCCGUCGUGAAGAGGGAAACAACCCAGACCGCCAGCUAAGGUCCCGAAGUUAUGGCUCAGUGGGAAACGAUGUGGGAAGGCAGAGACAGCUAGGAGGUUGGCUUAGAAGCAGCCACCCUUUAAAGAAAGCGUAAUAGCUCACUAGUCGAGUCGGCCUGCGCGGAAGAUGUAACGGGGCUAAGCCAUACACCGAAGCUGCGGCUGCAUACUUAUGUAUGCGGGGUAGGGGAGCGUUCUGUAAGUGGGUGAAGGUGUGUUGAGAAGCACGCUGGACAUAUCAGAAGUGCGAAUGCUGACAUGAGUAACGAUAAUGGGAGUGAAAAACUCCCACGCCGGAAGACCAAGGUUUCCUAUCCCAUGCUAAUCAGGGUAGGGUAAGUCGGCCCCUAAGGCGAGGCGGAAACGCGUAGUCGAUGGAAAACAGGUUAAUAUUCCUGUACCG
rnacentral:rRNA from 1 species